CUGCUCUGUGAAUAUUGUAAAUUGCAUUAGACAUAUGUUCAAAACUAGGUUUUUAAAUAACAGUCAGUAAUAAUAGCUUAUAUAAAUUAUUAUUUAACAGUGUUGUUCUAAUGUGUUUAUUAUAUUCUGGAAUAACUGAAGAUCAGUCAUUCCGCAGUUGUAUCCAUCAAACUGCUUCGCAGGAAUAAUGGGAAGGACUGUCACAUUGUAGAGAUUGGACAGUGUUCACACAGGUUUUAAGCAGGAAUUCAUCAAGGACAUGAAAGGAUGGAUUUUACCAAAACUGAAUUCAAGAUUCCUAUCCUGUACUAAAAUAAAAAAACUCAAUAAUUCGAAGACAGGAUCUACAAGAAAAAGCACAAAACAACUGCUGGCGCAAUCCCCCAACCCUCCCAUGCUUAGUUCCUGACUCCUCACACCCACUCCUUCUCCUCAGGUCUCAGUCAGUCAUGCAAAUUUCAUCUAUCGUUUCAAGCUACUUUAUGUGUGGUCAGUAUAAAUACUUCAGGUGUGACUGGUAAGGUGGUUUAACUCCACAACAGAACAGAACAGACAAUAAUAAACAAAACAAAACCUGUUCUUCUGAUGUGGGAGAAGUCCCAAUAAAUAUCUUUGAUAACCAUUUCUUUUCAUCCCCAAAACUAGGUGUGUAACCUUUUGGGUCACAAGACCCUAAAAGCUCCUAACAACGAAAAGGUCUUUUAUGUUUUGUUAUGUAACUGAUGUGUCCUGACCUAGAAGUCUGUAUUUGAAUGAGGCAUUAGUUACUUGUGUUGUGUAGGAUUCGGUUGUGAUAUCAGACAAUUGUCUUUGUCUUAAGAAAGUCAAACAGUCCCACUGCUGAAUAUUCAAUCUGUCUUCAUCAUGAAAUAAUGAAUCCAUUCUGGAGAAUGUGA